GUGGGGAAUAUUGGGCAAUGGGCGAAAGCCUGACCCAGCAACGCCGCGUGAAGGAAGAAGGCCUUCGGGUUGUAAACUUCUUUUAAGAGGGACGAAGAAGUGACGGUACCUCUUGAAUAAGCCACGGCUAACUACGUGCCAGCAGCCGCGGUAAUACGUAGGUGGCGAGCGUUAUCCGGAUUUACUGGGUGUAAAGGGCGCGUAGGCGGGAAUGCAAGUCAGAUGUGAAAUCCAAGGGCUCAACCCUUGAACUGCAUUUGAAACUGUAUUUCUUGAGUGUCGGAGAGGUUGACGGAAUUCCUAGUGUAGCGGUGAAAUGCGUAGAUAUUAGGAGGAACACCAGUGGCGAAGGCGGUCAACUGGACGAUAACUGACGCUGAGGCGCGAAAGCGUGGGGAGCAAACAGGAUUAGAUACCCUUGUAGUCC
rnacentral:rRNA from 1 species